AUAUUGUGAUAUAUCUCUGGGCCCAGCACCUAGGUGAUGUGACUUCUUCUGCCUGGAUCAUGCCCAUAGAAGGGAGAGUAACUUAAUACCGGGCCUACUACAGACAUGCUGAGAUAUUUCUGCCUGUUGCUUGCCCACAGGAUCCAUAUGCCAUAUUUCUGGGCCCAUCACCUAGAUGAUGGGACUCUCCUCUUCUUUCUGGGACCAGUACACAGUGGGAAUUGUGAUGCAUCGUUUAGCUCAGCAGCUACAUGAUGAGACAUGCCCCAAAAAGGGAUUGUGGCAUAUCUCUGAGCCCAGCACCCAAAUGUUGUGACUCUCCUGCCCGGGCUGUGCCUAGAGAAAAUAUAAUAUGUCACUGGGCCCUACAUGCAAGUGAUCUGAUUCUCCAGCCUGGGCCUUGCCCAUAGGGGAGAUUGAGACAUAUUGCAGGUGAAGAAUUCAGGUGGAUGAUGACUCUAAGACCAGGAUUCAACACACCUAGAAGGCUUUGACUCUGAUACCAGUCACAGAAGGCUCUGUGACUCUUCUACUUUCUCUAGGUCAUGCAAAUGGAGGCGGAUUGUGACAUAUAGAGCCAACAUAACACACAGUCUGCAGGUGGAAUUGGGACGGACUCUCAUGCAUGGAUCCAGUUCAUCAUUGAUAUUGUGACUCAUGUACUUGGAUGCCACUCACAGGAGGUGUUGACACUUUUACCUGAAGCUGGGACAUGUGUGGAAUUGUGAAUCUUAGCCCUAGAUCUUCCCAUAAGUAUGAUUGUGACAUAUACUUUUGCCUAGCACCUGAGUGAUUUUACUUCCCUGCCUGGGCCCAGAUCUCAGAAGAGAUUGUGAUGUGACUCUCUUGCUUGAGCCCUACCCACAGAGGGUAUUGUGAAAUUUCACUGGGCCUAGCACUUAGGUCAUGUGACUCUUAUCUUUAGCCUGGGCCCUGUCCACAAAGUCAUUGUGAGAUGUCACUGAGCCCACUACCUCUGUGAUGUGACAGUACUGCCUGGGCCCUGCCCACAGUAGGUAUUGUGAAAUACUUCUGAACUCAUUACCUAGGUGAUGUAACACUCCUCUGUUGCCUGCAUUCUGCACCCCCCAAAAAUGAACUGUGACAUACCACAGGCCCACUGGCCUCAGGGGAGAUUGAAACAUUGUACUGAGUCCAGGUUGCAGGUGAUGUGACCCUCUAUCUUAGGCUCUGCCCACAGGAGGUAUUGUGAUAUAUCUCUGUGGUCAUAAUUUAGGUGCUGUGACUCUUCUAUUUUCUCUAGGUCAUGCAAAUGGAGGGGGAUUGUGACAUAUCAUAGAGCCAACACAAAAAUAAUGUAAAACUCCUGCCUGAGCCAUGCCCAUAGAAGGCAUUGUGACAUAUCACCAGUCACAGCACUCAGGUGAUGUAACUCUCUUUCCUGAGCCCUGCCUGCAAGGCAUAUUUUAACAUAUCUUUAGUCUAGAAUUUAAAAUAUGUAACUCUCUUAGCUUGUUUCUUUUCCACAGGUGGGAUUUUGACAUAUAACUACACCCAGCACAUGGGUGAAGCAUCUUGUAUGCUCAUCCUGCCAAAAGUUAUGAGUGUCACCCUCACACAUGGACAGAGACCUCUGGUUAGGUCUCUUGUACAUGAACAAGAAUCUUGUACAUGGACACAGUCCACAGUUGGAAUGUCAUAUGUAGAUCCAGCCACAGGUGUGAUGUUGACCUAUUUAUAAAGUUAGCUCACAGGCACAUUGAUUACUCUCAUACCUGGAUCCGGCCAAUAAAAGAUAUGUUGACUAUUAUAGCUAGGCUUGAGGAAACUGGUAGGGUCCUUGGUCUCCUACCUGCAUGAGACUCACAGAAGAUUAUUACAGUUAAUGGAAAUUACAUGAAGCCCUCUGGCAGUACAAAGUUUUAUCACAGGCCCAGCACACAGGUGAGAUUGUGACUUUAAUAUACAAACAAAGCUAACAGUUAGUAUUGUCACCUUCACAUAUAAACAGAGUCCACUGGUAAGGUUCUAAAUCUCACACAUCAAAAAAAUUCACUGUUGGAAUUGUGACUGUGAUAUGUGAGUCUGCCCAUAGGUGGAACGCUGACUCAUUUCUGGAUUCAGCUUAGAAAAAUGGUGAUGACUGUUUCACCUGGACUCAGCCAAAUGGAGAGAUGUUGACUCUUUUAACUAGGUGUGAUGGUUAAUACUGAGUGUCAAUUAGAUUGGAUUGAAGGAUACAAUGUAUUAAUCCUGGGUGUGUCUGUGAGGGUGUUGCCAAAGGAGAUUAACAAUUGAGUCAGUGGGCUGGAAAAGGCAGACCCACCCUUAAUCUGGAUGGGCACAAUCUAAUCAGCUGCCAGCAUGGCUAGAAUAUAAGCAAGCAGAAAAAUGUGAAAAGAGAGACUGGCCUAGUCUCCCAGCCUGCAUCUUUCUCCUGUGCUGGAUGCUUCCUGCCCUUGAAUAUCAGAUUCCAAGUUCUUCAUUUUUGGGACUCGGAGUGGCUCUCCUUCAUUCUCAGCCUGCAGACGGUCUAUUGUGGGAUCUUGUGAUUGUGUGAGUUAAUACUUAAUAAACUCCCCUUUAUAUAUAUAUUUUAUAUAUAUAUAUACAUAUAUUCCAUUAAUUAUGUCCCUCUAGAGAACCCUGGCUAAUACAGAUUUUGGUACCAGGAGUGGUUCUAGAGGAACAGAAUAUUAAGGAUGGAAUUCUUUUUUGAUUCUGGGGUUUCUGGAGUUGGCUUCUUAAUAUGAUUAGACCCAAAAAUGCUAAAGACUCUACUUCUAAUAGUAUGGAGAACACUGAUAGCCCUUGGGAUGAACUGUUUAAGAAGUUAUGGAAAAUAAAUGCAUUUGACACUCUUGAUUUAUC